UUCAGCAACUUGAGUUCGGGGACGUAUCGCUGUGUACAGGGUUUGAAUCUACAAUUAUUGGUCAAAUUUGCAGAAAAGUUGCUGUGAUUGGUUGAAUUGGUGUGAACUUCUGGAAGGACUGACUGGAUACUUGUUGGACCUGAUUGGAGACCUGACUGAGGACUUGAGAAAGACUCUGGUCUCAUAUUGAGACCUCUUUAUGAAGUGGAUUAUAUGACUACAUUCGUGUUUGAUCCUGUGAGCUUCCUGUUCUGUUCAAUAAAACCACAAAGUGAACUCACUCCGUCUCCUUCAGUGUCUCUAACGAAGUCCUGGAUUCAUGUGAUCAAUUAAUGUGACGCUUUAUUUUAUUAUUGAUAUGAAUCAGAAAGACCAGCUCACACAGAGUGUCUGCUGAGUCAUUAAAUUCUCAGUGAGUUCAAUCACACUCCAGAUCUAUCUAAAAUCAAACUAAUGGAAUAAAAUCUAUUCUUAUGAAGCAGUUUUAACAAUAUAACCAAAUAAAUCACAUUUUAUGAUCAAUAAUGAUCUUUGGUAAUAAAGCCUAUGCUGCCACCAGUUAAAUCCCUCACGUAUUUCUAUAAAUAAAUACACGCUGCUUUUAUUCUGAAGGUAACGGAGUCUCGUCUCGUCACUUCCGCUCCUUAUGUAAACAGUAAAGAUGGCGGCCUCCUGUGCGCGCCGCGCCGUCCUCAGUCAGACCCUCAACAGGUCCAGGACUUCAGGAGGAGGCGUGAGACGGGUCUCAGCUGGAAGACAGGAGAGCUCUGUGACAUCACAGUCUGUGGACAGGAAGCGCUCGGCCUGCUGGGUAAAAAUCAGCAGACAUGAGUCCGUCAGUAGAAACUUUCAGAACACACAGAGCGGAGGAGGAGGAGGAGGAGGAGGAGGAGGAGGAAGAAGAGUCCUGUGGGCGGCAGUCGCUUUCUCCCUGUUCAGCACUUCUGAUGAAGACCAACGAGAUGAAGCUCAGAGGAAAGAGGACGAGAUCAUCCUGCUGCUGAAGAAAGCCAAGGUACCAGGACCUGCAGUAAUCCUAUAGUAAUACUAUUACUACUACAGUUAUUAGGGAUGUCCGAUAUUAUCGGCCGAUAUUCACAAAAAAAUGUAAUAUCGGGAAUUAUCGGUAUCGGGUUUUUAUAAACUGAAGUUUGUUCUGGAGGCUUCAGCAUUUCCGAGCCUGCAUGAACGCAGCAUGGGACGUUUACCGGCUUGCGCUAGAUGACGUAUAACAACAACAGCUACACACUAGACUGGUUGGUUGCUAACCGUGGCUAACAAGCAAACAAUUUAAAGCUGAAUGAUUUUAAUAUUAACACAAAAUAAGUGC
rnacentral:lncRNA from 15 species